AUGGAGAACAAGGGGAGCACAGUCACACUCGCUUUGGUCUGCAGACCCAGUCAGUCGCAAACUCAGAAAUGGAAACGUGUGCACCUUCCCGGCAGCAAAAUUGACUCCGCGUUCUUCGCAGUUUCGAGUUAAAAGCUGCGCUGGGAGAACUGUGCCUGCUGGAAAGUUUGGACACAACUACGCCAGAGGCCAGACGUUAGGGGUUCUGCGGGCCCGGCGAUGUCUUCCAGAGCUUUUCAAGUGGGAAGAAAAGAGCGACAAAAUGAAAAUGCAACGUGUGGGGGUGGCCACCCUAGUCCCGCAAGCUGCCGGUCGCAGAGGUCCACAGUUGCUCCUAGCAUGACCACAGUCUGAUCAGCAACCAGGAGCAUCUGACCCUCGUGUUGUGCGCCUCAGGGCUGGGGCCUGCUCACCGCCCACGACGCCGGCGCUGCCAUGGCUGCUGCCUUUAUGUCCAGCCCUGUCGCUUCGCAGCCCCAGUUCACAGCCAUGAAUGAACCGCAGUGCUUCUACAAUGAGUCCAUCGCCUUCUUUUAUAACCGGAGUGGAAAGUAUCUUGCCACAGAAUGGAACACAGUCAGCAAGCUGGUGAUGGGGCUUGGAAUCACUGUCUGUAUUUUCAUCAUGUUGGCUAACCUCCUGGUCAUGGUGGCGAUCUAUGUCAACCGCCGCUUCCAUUUUCCUAUUUAUUACUUAAUGGCAAAUCUGGCUGCUGCGGACUUCUUUGCUGGGUUUGCCUACUUCUACCUAAUGUUCAACACAGGACCCAAUACUCGGAGACUGACUGUCAGCACGUGGCUCCUGCGCCAGGGCCUCAUUGACACCAGCCUGACGGCUUUCGUGGCCAACCUCCUGGCCAUCGCCAUUGAGAGGCAUAUUACGGUCUUCCGUAUGCAGCUCCACACGCGGAUGAGCAAUCGGCGAGUGGUGGUGGUGAUUGUGGUCAUCUGCACCAUGGCCAUUGUUAUGGGGGCCAUACCGAGUGUGGGCUGGAACUGUAUCUGUGACAUUGAGAAUUGCUCCAACAUGGCGCCCCUCUACAGCGACUCUUACUUGGUCUUCUGGGCCAUUUUCAACUUGGUGACCUUUGUUGUCAUGGUGGUUCUGUAGGCCCAUAUCUUUGGCUAUGUUCGCCAGAGGACUAUGAGGAUGUCUCGGCAUAGUUCUGGACCCCGACGGAAUCGGGAUACCAUGAUGAGUCUUCUGAAGACCGUGGUCAUUGUGCUUGGUGCCUUUAUCAUCUGCUGGACUCCUGGACUGGUCUUGUUACUUCUCGACGUGUGCUGCCCGCAGUGUGACGUUCUGGCCUAUGAGAAGUUUUUCCUUCUGCUUGCCGAGUUCAACUCUGCCAUGAACCCCAUCAUCUACUCCUACCGCGACAAGGAGAUGAGCGCCACCUUCAGGCAGAUCCUGUGCUGCCAGUGCAGUGAGAACAGCGGCGGCCCCGCGGAAGGCUCAAACCGCUCCGCCUCCUCCCUCAACCACACCAUCCUGGCUGGAGUUCACAGCAAUGACCAUUCAGUGGUUUAGGAGAGAAACUAAGACGAGAGGGCUCGUCAUCCACUAAGGGAUGAACAGCCUCCCGCUCCCCACAGGCCAGGGCAGGGUGGGGUGUGAGAAAGAGGAAAAGUACGUUCGUGUACUUAAACACUAACCCAUGGCAGUAUUUGUUCCUUGACCCACCAAGACGUGACAUGUAUUGAAAAAUUAGCUUAUGUGAUACCCCUCAUCCUGCUCCCGUUCCUUCUGAAAGUAGAAAGUGGAGAUCUUGCAAUGGAAUUCAUACACAGACUCUGGAGUGUCCAUGUACACUACACUAGUCUUCAAAAGAUUUUGUAUGGUUUGGUGCAAGUCAGAAUAAAUUCUGACUAAUUGAAUCCACAACUUCAUUUACAUACAGGCUUCCCUUUUUUUCUUCUUAAAGGAUACAUUUCAUUUAAUAAACACGUUUAUGCCUAUCAGCAUGCUUGUGAUGGAUAA